GUUCCCUUAGCUCAGUGGUACGAGCAUCGUACUUAUGGGUAACCUGUAUGGCUAUGCGAUGGUCCCGAGUUCAAUCCUCGGAGGGAACA